UACGUAGGGUGCGAGCGUUAAUCGGAAUUACUGGGCGUAAAGGGUGCGCAGGCGGUUUUGUAAGUCAGAUGUGAAAUCCCCGGGCUUAACCUGGGAACUGCGUUUGAAACUACAAGACUAGAGUGUAGCAGAGGGGGGUGGAAUUCCACGUGUAGCAGUGAAAUGCGUAGAGAUGUGGAGGAACACCAAUGGCGAAGGCAGCCCCCUGGGUUAACACUGACGCUCAGGCACGAAAGCGUGGGGAGCAAACAGG
rnacentral:rRNA from 1 species